GAGACUGUAGCUCAGAUGGGAGAGUAUUCGUUAACCCAACGAAUGGUCUUAGGUUCAAAUCCUAACUGUUUCU